rnacentral:pre_miRNA from 1 species
AGCUUUCCGAGUCCGUGCAGAGAUUUCAUCAAACACCAAUCCCUUAUUGCUGAUCAGACUUCCAAGAUAAGUGAAGCU